rnacentral:rRNA from 1 species
UGGGGAAUAUUGCACAAUGGGCGAAAGCCUGAUGCAGCGACGCCGCGUGAAGGAUGAAGUAUUUCGGUAUGUAAAACUUCUAUCAGCAGGGAAGGAAAAUAGACGGUACCUGACUAAGAAGCCCGGCUAACUACGUGCC